UUGAACGCUGGCGGCAGGCCUAACACCUGCAAGUCGAACGGUAACAGGAAGAAGCUUGCUUCUUUGCUGACGAGUGGCGGACGGGUGAGUAAUGUCUGGGAAACUGCCUGAUGGAGGGGGAUAACUACUGGAAACGGUAGCUAAUACCGCAUAACGUCGCAAGACCAAAAAGGGGGACCUUCGGGCCUCUUGCCAUCGGAUGUGCCCAGAUGGGAUUAGCUAGUAGGUGGGGUAACGGCUCACCUAGGCGACGAUCCCUAGCUGGUCUGAGAGGAUGACCAGCCACACUGGAACUGAGACACGGUCCAGACUCCUACGGGAGGCAGCAGUGGGGAAUAUUGCACAAUGGGCGCAAGCCUGAUGCAGCCAUGCCGCGUGUAUGAAGAAGGCCUUCGGGUUGUAAAGUACUUUCAGCGGGGAGGAAGGGAGUAAAGUUAAUACCUUUGCUCAUUGACGUUACCCGCAGAAGAAGCACCGGCUAACUCCGUG
rnacentral:rRNA from 1 species